rnacentral:rRNA from 1 species
GAGUUUGAUCAUGGCUCAGAACGAACGCUGGCGGCAGGCNUCAUACAUGCAAGUCGAGCGGUCCUUCGGGACAGCGGCGAACGGGUUAGUAACGCGUGGGAACGUGCCCUUUAGUACGGAAUAGCCAUUGGAAACGAUGAUUAAUACCGUAUACGCCCCAAGGGGGAAAGAUUUAUCGCUAAAGGAUCGGCCCGCGUUAGAUUAGGUAGUUGGUAGGGUAAUGGCCUACCAAGCCGACGAUCUAUAGCUGGUUUGAGAGGAUGAUCAGCAACACUGGGACUGAGACACGGCCCAGACUUCUACGGAAGGCAGCAGUAGGGAAUCUUGGACAAUGGGCGAAAGCCUGAUCCAGCCAUGCCGCGUGAGUGAUGAAGGCCCUAGGGUUGUAAAGCUCUUUCGCCAGGGAAGAUAAUGACGGUACCUGGUAAAGAAACCCCGGCUAACUCC